rnacentral:rRNA from 1 species
UACGUAGGGUGCGAGCGUUAAUCGGAAUUACUGGGCGUAAAGCGUGCGCAGGCGGUUCGUUGUGUCGGCGGUGGAAGCCCCGGGCUCAACCUGGGAAUGGCCGUUGAAACUGGCGAACUGGAGUGUGGCAGAGGGGGGUGGAAUUCCGCGUGUAGCAGUGAAAUGCGUAGAGAUGCGGAGGAACACCGAUGGCGAAGGCAGCCCCCUGGGCUAACACUGACGCUCAGGCACGAAAGCGUGGGGAGCAAACAGG